AAAAAAAAAAAAAAGAAUUUUCUAACCAGAAAGGAGUUCACUUAAUUAGCUGUACAAAGUAAUAAAAAUACACGUAUGAUACACAGGAGGAAAAACAAACAGACAGCGCAGAGACAGAGCCCUCUCCGAAGGCCCAGAGUUUUGAUAUCUUGGGCAUUUUGAAAACUGAGGAUGACGAGGGUUCUUCCUUUUUUUUAUUUCCAGUUCCACACAGUUAUUGACUUAUUGUAUUACAGUUUAGUUAGCAAAUUAAU
rnacentral:misc_RNA from 1 species